rnacentral:misc_RNA from 1 species
CCGAGUACUGGGUCUCCGGGCCCACACUCCCACCCUCUGUGUACCUACCUGUUUUCGUUGCCUCGGCGGGGUUGAUCCCAAGGGCCUCCAGCCCGCGGGGGACCCGUCGGGGGGACACACCUAAACUCUUGUCAACAGUGACGUCUGAGAAGCAAACAAACCAGUCA